CAGAAUCUGUGGCCAUCUUGAACCUGCCUCAGAGGCCAUGGUAGAGUCCUUUUACUGCCACUGCUGUGAACCACAUCAUUCAGUAUGCAGCACUUCGAAUUUUGCCAAAGUAAUCAUGAUGUAUGAAAACUCGCAACAUGACAUCACGAAUUCUGUUAAAGACAUGACCAUCUCAUUUCCUGCCAGGUUUGGACCCUCAAUUCCUUCACUUGAAUGUGAGUCAGCCUCAUGAGGACAGUUGCAUUUGCCUCCCGCCUAUUCUCAUGCCUAUGAUCACUCCUUUCACAACCAUUAACUCAUCUCACACAGCCUCUCUGCAUAGUACAAUUCUGAAAUAAAAUUUGAUUGUGUUACAUUAUCUAAAUAUUAUUUCAGUUUUUACUUAUUAAUUAUCAAACAGUUAAAAGGACCUAAUCUGGCUUUCCAGACCAGGGCCACCUCUGGGGUAUAUGCAGUCCUGGGUGGCAAAUCUUUUUGUGCAGAGUCUCUGUCUAUACAACUAUUUUGAUCAAAAUUGUAUUCAGAAUCCAUAGUCCCAUGUGAGGUAAUGUAUUGAUGGAGAUUUAAAACAACGGGCAGAGGAGAGGGACUUACGUAUUUGUUUAUCACUCAUUUGGGGCAGGUGAAGAUUCUUCAUAGGGUCCUGGCACUAUCUCUUCCUGUUCAGGUCCGAAAAACAUCUUGUCAUGUUCUUUUUAUGGUGACAACUCCUCAUUUUGUGCUAGCAGAGUUAAUUCUCCAUUUCCAGAAAUUGCUGCCAGUUUCUGACCUAAUUAGAGUUCAAAAAUACUCGUGUUUUUCUUAUUUUUUCCACUGAGAGAAGAAAGUAGCAGUGCUGUUAUGACUCACAAUACUAAGGCUCUUUGGAGUCUGUAUUGAUACAAUUUAAUUCUUCUUGCCUCUGC
rnacentral:lncRNA from 1 species